GACGAACGCUGGCGGCGUGCUUAACACAUGCGAGUCGAACGGAAAGGCCCUGCUUUUGUGGGGUGCUCGAGUGGCGAACGGGUGAGUAACACGUGAGUAACCUGCCCUUGACUUUGGGAUAACUUCAGGAGACUGGGGCUAAUACCGGAUAGGAGCUCCUGCUGCAUGGUGGGGGUUGGAAAGUUUCGGCGGUUGGGGAUGGACUCGCGGCUUAUCAGCUUGUUGGUGGGGUAGUGGCUUACCAAGGCUUUGACGGGUAGCCGGCCUGAGAGGGUGACCGGCCACAUUGGGACUGAGAUACGGCCCAGACUCCUACGGGAGGCAGCAGUGGGGAAUAUUGCACAAUGGGCGGAAGCCUGAUGCAGCAACGCCGCGUGCGGGAUGACGGCCUUCGGGUUGUAAACCGCUUUCGCCUGUGACGAAGCGUGAGUGACGGUAAUGGGUAAAGAAGCACCGGCUAACUACGUG
rnacentral:rRNA from 1 species